CUGGAUUUUUGGUCAAUGAAUCAUCUGACAGGUGAGGCUAUCCUCUUUCUUCUACUAUAAAUGUGUACAGACUUUGCCACACAUGGACUUGAAGAACCUAAUCUCACAUUGGCUCUAGACAAGUGAAGAGGCAAAAUGAGGAUCUUAAGCUUCCUACAGCAUCAAAAUACUACAUGUUCUUGGGGAGAUCCACCAGCAGUCAGCAUCACCCCCCGUGCAGCUGAAGGAAAUCCUUUCAGGGCUGUAUCCUUUACAAGCAAAGCUCCAGGGGUCUGACCCAGCCUCCUCUAUGCUCCCCAGCUCUGAGAUCUGUCCAAGCAUCAGCAGAAAAGUCUUCCAGCUGCAACACACGAAAAAGGGAGAUUGCAUUAACGUUGCACAGUGAUACCUCAGCACACGCCACAGGCUCGACGCUGUUCUUUCCUCCUCACUACAGUCCUUCAAAGGAUAAUUUCAACAAGUAAACUAAGCCUACAAAUACAUUGGUGAUAUCAAGAGAUUUCAGACUGCUGAUCAACACAGGGAGUGCAAAGUGUAGGGGACAGUCAACAAGGUGUGGGCACAUUCCAUACCCCAUUUUCCUGAACAGAGUUUUACUUGUGCCGCUAAAGAGAACUGAUGUCUCUCAAAGAGGAGAUGCAGGACCCGCCUUCACAUGUGCUAAAGAACUUCUGCAAGUGUUGGCACCAUUAGUGCAAGUCAGUGUUAAGUCCAAGCAGAUUGCUCUUGUCUGUCUCAUUGCUUUGAUAUGGGUCGUCUGAAAUCAUCAUGUGACAUCCACCAACACUGAAGAUCACAAACUGAUCACCCUGAGCCUCUGGAAGACAGGGAAUGAAACAGAUUAACUGAAAACAGAAUCUGAAGAACGUGUGCUUGCAUAAAUACAACGCAAGACACGGUUUGGCUGGUGGAAAGUUACGGUGACAAUGAAGAAGUCAAGGAGAAUGCAGCUUGGAUUUCAAGAUGAUCAGAAGCCUGCAGAGCUGGCAAGUGGACAAAUAUGUCUUGUAAACUCAACAAAAUUCCAUAAAAGCUGCUAUUACAUAGACAUGAAACUAUAUCACACCAUAUUUUCUGUACUGUUGUUCAGAGUAUGACUUCAGUAGUGUAGAAGGCCUUUCAACAUGUAUUUUGUACUCCUUUAUUUCUGGUAAAGAAACAGAGAAAGAAGGAAGAAAAAUUCUGAUUGCACACGUAAAUUUGUCCUUUCAGUGCUAGGGGAUAAAGUCACACUUUCACAGCUGCAGGUUUUGGGCCAGAAGAUUUUUUUUCUGCAUGGCUGAGCUUUUAGAACAGCAGCACAUCUGAAACCGAGUGCAGAUGGAUAGUAAGAGUGGGCAGAGGUAGCAACUGCAUUUAAAUGGUUUAUGUGUUGUCUUCCUACUGGCAUAACAGCAGACCCAUGAGAAAGUCAUAAAAAUAAACCAGAAUGUUUAAGAAAGUUAUAAAAAUAAUAGGAGAAAGCACAAGCAUUAUCCCCAACUCCAUAUUGACCCUGAGGCCAGCUUCUCCAUUAGGGACACUUCUGUUUUAUGUCAGUGAGGGCAGGGGAGGGAUGGAAGAAAUAAACAUUUAUUCACAUUAACAUACAAAGUAUGCUGCUGAUGUUUAUAACCUUUUUUCUUUAUACUCAAUGGUAGGAAGUGGUAGGAAACCAGAAUACACACUCUUCAGCUUACGGUAACUGCAAGCAGAAUAUAGAUUGCCAUCAACAUGAAGUUAGGGGCUUAGCCACAGGGUCUUAUGGCAGAUGCUUAGACCAAGAGACAUUUUGAAUACUUCACAAACAUUCUCGGAGACAUGGACUUCCCAGCUCUCAUCCCAAGAGUAAAGACUUGCUGUUUUCACAAGCGAAUAAAAUCAUGGUAUUUUUUUAUAAAGAUAGUACAGCAAUAUGGUACAUUAUGUGGUGGAUUUCUUCUGCGAGUAACCACAAAUUGCUACACACUGCAAGUAACCACAAAUUGUAAGUACUGCUGCAAGUACUUACAGUACCAGUAGUUCCUUAGACUAAAGAACCCUGAAAUAUCUGGGCAUAUAGGCUCAAAAGUUAUCUAUCUUUUGAGAGGAAGGAGAAGUAAUCAUUGGACUCAGACUAUAGACACUUAAUGUUUUCUCAUACUUUAAUCAAAGCCCAAUUAGUCACAAGACAAAUUUAAACAGACUUCAGCAAUAAAAUGGUUGUCUCAGGCUUGUCUUACGCAACCAAAGGGCAAAAGAAUAAUGUUUUUUUUAAUGGAAAACAUUUUUGAGUUAACAUUUACAAAGUUAACUGCCAAAUCACACCCUUUGCAAAAGAAAAACAUUUUAAUUGGCUUUCAAAUUUUUCCUGAUGAGGAUGACUUGUUAUCUUUUCCAUCCAUGCACCUAAAACCACCCUCUGACUGAGAGGAGUUCUUCAGGUACUAUGUUAGCGCUGUUGUCAUUAUUCUCAGUGUAGUAUCUGGACGAUUGCGGUAGCUCUAUAAAAAGUUUUCCUGAUGGCACACAAAUCUUGUCAGCCAAUGUACUUAAUUCCGCUCUUAGCUGGUGUGCUCUCAAGAUAAAUAACUAACAAAUUAUACAUGUGACUUCAUUUAAUAGUCUUGGUAAACUAUUUAUUAUGUCUGUGGCUAUAUGCUGCUCUUGCUUUGUCUCCCACCCUUCACUUUGCACAAUUUAGUGAUUAAUGGAUAAAAAAGACAAAACCUCCACCAGUUUGAACAAACAGUUCUGGGGACUUGAUACAGCAGGGCACGAUUCCAAAUUUGAGGAGGCGCCAGUAAACUAAUGAAGAAUGUUACUGAUCUGCUCUAGCCAUGUGGAAUCGGGAUCUCAUCUUGUGCAAACUACUCAGGGUCAAACACAGUCAACAUUCAGCUUACGAGUCCUCAGGAUGCUCCUGAGUGUUGAUGAUUCACCAAGUCUGACCCAGUCUCUCAGCUUGCUCCUAGGAAGCACCACUCCAGUAAGUGGGAUACUGAAGUCCCAGGUUUUUGA